CCCUCUCAGCCUAAGUCUGCCCUUGUGCCUCUGGCCAAGAUGCUGUGGGCUUUUAUUUCAGCGACCUUGCACUGGGCAGAUCUUUUCCAGUGUGGUUGCUUGCAGUCUUAGCAGAGGCAUUGCCAAUACACUAAUAAUAAAAGAUGUUUGUCUGCAAAGUCAUGAAGUCUGCUUGUUUUGCAUUGUCAACACCCUAUAUGCCAAUUCAAUCCACAUGACCACAGACAGCGUGAAGAAGACUGUUUCUGAAGCUCUGGUCUGGUCAGGCUAAGCAACAGAAGAAAAGAGAAAUAGCUAGAGUCAGUUUGCUGCUUUAAUCUUCUGGGUCCCUUUGCCCUUAUUAUUGUACAUUGUAUUAUUGUAUAUGGGAAAAGCUGUUAAUGCUGUUGAGGCUUGUGUAUGUUAUGUUUAUUUAAAAAUCUCUCUUCAAGGAACACAGAUGUGAAAAAGUUUUCACAAUUGAGUACUAAUUGUUACAUGUCAUUCAAAGUUGGAACUAGUCCUUUCUCAGAUAAAACUCUUGAAGCCACUGGGAAUCUUACUUGAAUAAGGAGAGCAGUAUCUCACUGUUAAAUUUUGUCUAUUGUAGAAAAGUAACUUGUUGCUGAAUUGGCACAGAUUGUGGUUAUUAGAAGUGGAAAACAGGACAAAUUGCAUUUAGCUAUAUUAACAAAAAAUAACAGAUUUUCUGCAAGUCCCUGCCUUAUUUGAAGCAACUCUUUACCAUUAAGUUUUCUGUUAUCAGAUCCAUGAAACAUCUCAAAAUACUUGUUUUGAAAAAGUUGUUUUUUGACAAUGCCAGGGAAAAGUCAAACAAUACGAUGGGGAUAAUGUUCUGAUAUAGGCCUGCAAAAGUAGUUGCUUGUGUUUAGGGAAAUACUCAGCUGACACAGUUCAAUCAAUAAUAUAUAUAGUAGCCUGCUUGUCUUUUAUUUGCCAAAUGAAUUGGAGCCUAUUUGUCAUUAACACACUUUGGCGACCUCAGUAAUUGGUUAACAAAGCUGUGUUAUUUACUAACCAAAGCCUAGUUAGUGGUGUUUAGUAGCUAGAGACCAAAUCUAACAUCCAGCAGGAUCAAUAUAAUUGCAAUAGUUGAUGAGUUUUUUAGUACCUUUAAUUUUUAAGUGAGGACUUUUAUCCAAGUAAUCAAAUCCUAGUAUAAAAGGGAGGAUAAGUGGGAUCUUCUGUUUUCUGUUCACUAUAGAAAUACAACUCCACAUCUCUGCAAACAAGUGUGUUCAAAAUCCAGGACAAAUGCAUAGACUAAUAAAUUUAAAACCUGCUUUUUAUUCUA